rnacentral:rRNA from 1 species
GACGUAGGAGACAAACGUUAUCCGGAGUUACUGGGCGUAAAGGGCGUGUAGGCGGUUUGUUAAGUCUGGCGUGAAAGCUCUCGGCUAAACCGGGAGAGGUCGUUGGAUACUGGCAGACUAGAGGACGGUAGAGGCGUGUGGAAUUCCGGGUGUAGUGGUGAAAUGCGUAGAUAUUAGGAAGAACACCAGUGGCGAAGGCGACUUACUGGACGAUUGUUGACGCUGAGGUGCGAAAGCGUGGGGAGCAAACAGG